UACGUAGGUGGCAAGCGUUGUCCGGAUUUACUGGGCGUAAAGAGCGCGCAGGCGGUCGUCCAAGUCGCGUGUGAAAGCCCCCGGCUCAACUGGGGAGGGUCACGCGAUACUGGUCGACUCGAAGGCAGGAGAGGGUAGUGGAAUUCCCGGUGUAGUGGUGAAAUGCGUAGAUAUCGGGAGGAACACAGUGGCGAAGGCGACUACCUGGCCUGUUCUUGACGCUGAGGCGCGAAAGCUAGGGGAGCAAACGGG
rnacentral:rRNA from 1 species